GCAAGAGUUCCCCUAACGCUUCAAAUCUUCAUGGAUUCUGGAAUCUAGACCUGGGAUGUGAAAGCAGUGAUCACUUUAAACAUGGGUAAUAAGAUUUUAAUGAAGAUUUCAUCAUUCAUAGAAAGCUACAACUACAGUGCUUUCUAAGGUCUAAAAAUACUCACUGAACCCAGGAAGUAGCUGCUCAUAAAUGCUUAUUCAGGUCAGGGAAGAUGUUUUCCAUGUUCUGUAUCUCAAGGCAAAGUGGAGUGGUAGAGGAGAAGAGGAAGGGACACGGAGCAGAUUAGGGGGCUGUGAAGGCAGAGGUCAGAAAAGAUGGAGCUGCUUUCCUUCCUGACAUGGUAUCCUGUGUUUUGCCCUCCCUCUAGAGUUUUCUCCCAGCGACUCCUCUGGCUGUGCGUUCAGGUGCAUCCCUGCGUGGGCAUCAGUCUGUGCAUGAGCACAUUCACCUCAAGGAGAUUAGAGACAAGAAAAAUGAAGAUGUUACAGACAUACAGAUGAAUUUUCUGCGGCAAAUCUGCACCUUGGAGAGGAAGUUACUUGGCCUCCAUCUCAAAUGUCAGACCACCUGGGAUAUGCAGCUGUCAGGCUGAAAGGGGAGCUGCCUGGGACUGGCCCCGGCCUGCUCAUCAAGGAGAUACUGUCACCAGCCAGCAGGCAAUGCUAGGUGCACAGGGGUGCCAGCACCGCCGAAAGCCAGAGACACGCCUGGCUCAGGAUUUGAGCUUUUUAAGGAAGAAAAAUAAAGAACUUAGCUGAAACUAUGGAUAUUUCCA
rnacentral:lncRNA from 1 species